GGUGAGGUGGCCGAGUUGGUUAUGGCGCCAGGUUAAGGUCCUGGUGGAGCAAUCCGCGCGAGUUCAAGUCUCGUCCUCAUCA